CCUAGCCUCGUGACCUGGCACAAAGCCUGCCUGGUCAGGGUGGACUAGACUGGGCAGAAGAGGCUUGAGUCUGUUGGCGAUCAUUUUCGCCAUUAGUUUUAGGUCCAGGUUUAUGAGCGAUAUGGGUCUAUAGCUACCGCAUCUUGUGGGGUCCUUGCCUGGCUUGGGGAUGAUGGUAUUGGAUGCUCGCAGCAUCGGGGGUGGCAGUGUGGAGUCAAGGGCGAUGCCAUUCAGCAUGCGUAGAAAGUGGGGUGCUAGCUCUUGUUUCAGGGUUCGGUAGUAUCUGGCUGUCAGUCCGUCUGGACCAGGGCUUUUACCGUUCGGGAGUGUUUUAAUUGUGGAGAGUAGUUCUGCGUGUGUGAAAGGUUCGUCCAGUGCAUGGAUCUGGUCUACUGGGAUCUUGCAAGAUAUGUUGUCAGAGAUAUAGUCCCGCAGGGUAUGUGGU